GUGUCAGCCGCCGCGGUAAUACAGAGGCCCCAAGCGUUAGGCGGAAUCACUGGGCUUAAAGCGUGUGUAGGUGGAUGCCUAAGUACCUUGUGAAAUCCCACGGCUUAACCAUGGAAUUGCUUGGUAUACUGGGUGUCUUGAGCCACUCAGGGGCUACCGGAACAAACGGUGGAGCGGUGAAAUGCGUAGAUAUCGUUUGGAACGCCAAUGGUGAAAACAGGUAGCUGGGGGUGUGCUGACACUGAGACACGAAAGCCAGGGGAGCAAACGGGAUUAGAUACCCGCGUAGUCC
rnacentral:rRNA from 1 species